rnacentral:rRNA from 1 species
UAUGGCCAUACCACCAUGAACGUGCCUGAUCUCAUCUGAUCUCAGAACCUAAGCAGGGUCAGACCUGGUUAGUACUUGGAUGGGAGAAUUACAACAUGAUCUGGCAAUUCCACUU